rnacentral:rRNA from 1 species
GACGAACGCUGGCGGCGUGCCUAAUACAUGCAAGUUGAGCGCUGAAGGUUGGUACUUGUACCAACUGGAUGAGCAGCGAACGGGUGAGUAACGCGUGGGGAAUCUGCCUUUGAGCGGGGGACAACAUUUGGAAACGAAUGCUGAUACCGCAUAGAAACUUUAAACACAAGUUUUAAGUUUGAAAGAUGCAAUUGCAUCACUCAAAGAUGAUCCCGCGUUGUAUUAGCUAGUUGGUGAGGUAAAGGCUCACCAAGGCGAUGAUACAUAGCCGACCUGAGAGGGUGAUCGGCCACAUUGGGACUGAGACACGGCCCAAACUCCUACGGGAGGCAGCAGUAGGGAAUCUUCGGCAAUGGACGAAAGUCUGACCGAGCAACGCCGCGUGAGUGAAGAAGGUUUUCGGAUCGUAAAACUCUGUUGGUAGAGAAGAACGUUGGUGAGAGUGGAAAGCUCAUCAAGUGACGGUAACUACCCAGAAAGGGACGGCUAACUACGU